CCUACGGGAGGCAGCAGUGAGGAAUAUUGGACAAUGGACGCAAGUCUGAACCAGCAAUGCCGCGUGCAGGAAGACGGCUUUCUGAGUUGUAACUUGCUUUUGUAGGAGGGUAAACGCAGAUGCUCGUAUCUGUCUGAAACUAUCGUACGAAUAAGCAUCGGGUACCUCCGUGCCAGCAGCCGCGGUAAUACGGAGGAUUCAAUCGUUAUCCGGAUUUAUUGGGUGUAAAGGGUGCGUAGGCGGUCGGAUAAGUUAGAGGUGAAAUCGCGAGGCUCAACUUCUGAAGUGCCUCUGAUACUGUACGUCUAGAGAGUAGUAGCGGUAGGCGGAAUGUAUGGUGUAGCGGUGGAAUGCGUAGAUAUCGCGAAGAACCCCGGUGGCGAAGGCAGCUUACUAAACUGUGACUGACAUUGAGGCGCGAAAGUGUGGGUAUCAAACAGGAUUAGAUACCCCGGUAGUC
rnacentral:rRNA from 1 species